rnacentral:rRNA from 1 species
UGGGGAAUUUUGGACAAUGGGGGGCAACCCUGAUCCAGCAAUGCCGCGUGUGUGAAGAAGGCCUUCGGGUUGUAAAGCACUUUUGUCCGGAAAGAAAACGCCGUGGUUAAUACCCGUGGCGGAUGACGGUACCGGAAGAAUAAGCACCGGCUAACUACGUGCCAGCAGCCGCGGUAAUACGUAGGGUGCAAGCGUUAAUCGGAAUUACUGGGCGUAAAGCGUGCGCAGGCGGUCCGCUAAGACAGAUGUGAAAUCCCCGGGCUUAACCUGGGAACUGCAUUUGUGACUGGCGGGCUAGAGUAUGGCAGAGGGGGGUAGAAUUCCACGUGUAGCAGUGAAAUGCGUAGAGAUGUGGAGGAAUACCGAUGGCGAAGGCAGCCCCCUGGGGCCAAUACUGACGCUCAUGCACGAAAGCGUGGGGGAGCAAACAGGAUU